rnacentral:tRNA from 1 species
GGAGGUUUAGCUCAGUGGUAGAGCGCUUGCCUAGCAAGCGCAAGGCCCUGGGUUCGGUCCCCAGCUCCG